UACAGAGGUCCCGAGCGUUAGGCGGAAUCACUGGGCUUAAAGCGUGUGUAGGCGGGUCGGUAAGUACCUUGUGAAAUCCCACGGCUCAACCGUGGAACUGCUUGGUAUACUGCCGAUCUUGUGCCACCUAGGGGCGAGCGGAACAGAUGGUGGAGCGGUGAAAUGCGUAGAUAUCAUCUGGAACGCCAAUGGUGAAAACAGCUCGCUGGGGGUGUGCAGACGCUGAGACACGAAAGCCAGGGGAGCAAACGGG
rnacentral:rRNA from 1 species